UUAACGGCGUUCUUCGGGAUAGGUGUUAUUCAAAAAACCAUUAAAUGUUCUUAAUGGAGAACCUUCUCUAGAAAAUUAGCAUUACUUGAAAUAGGGAUAACAAUCUGCAGGUAGAGAAGUAAAGAUUGUGUUAGGUAAGUUCCGGGAAGAGGAGUGGCAGAUUUAGCAUUUAAAACUGCAGAAUAAAAAGUACGAAUUUUUGAAAAAUUUAAAUAUUUAAGCUUUGUGAAACGAUUAAUAACCAUGCAACAUUUUUAAAUAAUCAAUAUUAAUAUUACAAGAGUGACAUAUUUUUAAUUAUAUAAUCUUGAUUUUUGAAAUAAAUGCUUUUUUUUUCGGAUGAGGUUGUACUAACCAGCGAAAUGAUUUUUUUUCCGUAUCUAAACUACCGCGUUAUUAUUUUCCUGCCUAGUAUUUUGUUAGUACAAUAUAUAGUACACAAUAUAUAGUGCACAAAAUAAUUUAUUACGGUUGUGGCAAACAACAGUUAACUGGUGUCACUGCUACAAAAGUUUAACAUUAUUUAGCCAAACUUGUGUUGUGAAUGUAUUACACUGAAAUAAAUAAUAAAAUCACUUCAGGCUAUAUAAAAAAAAAGAUUGUCAAAAUUAAAUGAUAUCGUAGCUUUCGUCCAUUCGAAACCUAAAUUGGGCGGAGACAAAACAAAAUACAGAAAAAAACUUAUUUUGUAAUAAAUGAGGCAAUAAAAUUAGUUAUAGGUAUCUAAUUUCUUAAUUUAUUUACUUGAAUGAAAAUAAAUUUGCCAUUAGAAUCAUCAUUUGUUGAUAACCGCCGUUCUAACAAAAUGUAAAACUCAGAUUAACGUAUAUUUCCGUAUACAUAGCCUACUUUAGCAAAAUAUCUCCAGAGUGACGUCACAAAUUGCUAGCCAGUGAAAGAGAAAGGUGCGCAAAAGGAUACAUAUAUAACUUCACGAUGAUUCACCCGUUAUGUUCACAGUUGACAGAACAGAAGAACGAAUGAAUAUCAAGCAAUGAUUUGUGUAACAUUUUCUUAAGUGUUAUGAGUACGUAAUAAAUAUUCUCGCAGAAACUGUAUGGUGUUAUGUAGGCUGAAGUAUCUAUUUAUUCGAUUUUUUAUUUAUUAGAAAACAAUUUGAUCCGAUUUCCGCAUAGUAGACGCAGCGUCGCACUGCGUGGCUGCGACUGGUUGAUAAUCGCUGGCUCCUCUGUGACAUUGUGGGCAUUGGUGAAUCAAGCUUGUCGUGAAUGUCAGUGCGCUUGCAAACUGACUCCCCUGCUGCAGCUCAUACACCGGUCGUCACUGGAUUCUGAUGUACUUUGUAAUAAUUAAGAUAGUUUCUGAACCAGAACAGUUGAUAAGCUACGGUCCUGAAUCAAAAAAGGUAAAUUUAAAAUGUGUCGUAACUUUAUCUUUGAGCCUCAUUUAGAAAAUGUUAACAUACUCACCUUUCAUUGUUAGGUACAUAUUUUUUUACACAAUCCCGCAUAACCCUGCAAGUUAUAAAAAUUCUUCCAAUGUAUGAAUUUCCCAAUUACAUACAUAUUGAUAAUGCCGAAUGUGGACUUUAUAUAUAUAUACACAUGCAUACUUACACAUAUAUGUAUAAUAAUUGAAAGAAAAUGUUUGCUUCAAUGUCUCCCCUAUAAAUAAUAAAUGAAUUACCUAUAUGAUUAAAUAUCCGUGUUCUUAGUGGAUAUAACUAGGAAAAUCUGCAUAAUUUGUAUGUAUUUUGGUAGUUAUUAAAAAAGUACAAUUAAACUUACAAUAUUAUGAAUUGUCAUACCUCUAAUGUUAAAUUUUACUCUUGUACCGAUAGCACACUGUAUCUAAGUAACAUAAUUAAGAUGUCACAGAUAUAAUAUUUAAUACUUACUAAUUUUAUUCGACAAUGUGUUUCCGAUUCAUUUGACUUCUUGCAAAUGGGUUAUAAAUUAAGUAUAACUCCAGAGACGUACCAAAUUAGGUUACCUUGAGAAACUCAUGACGUCAGCGUGUAUGGUUUAUGUGUUAGGGAAAAUUUAUUCAAAUACUGUGUAUUAAAAAAGUGCAUGACAUGGUA